rnacentral:rRNA from 1 species
UACGUAGGGUGCAAGCGUUAAUCGGAAUUACUGGGCGUAAAGCGUGCGCAGGCGGCUUUGCAAGACAGAUGUGAAAUCCCCGGGCUUAACCUGGGAACUGCAUUUGUGACUGCAUGGCUGGAGUGCGGCAGAGGGGGAUGGAAUUCCGCGUGUAGCAGUGAAAUGCGUAGAUAUGCGGAGGAACACCGAUGGCGAAGGCAAUCCCAUGGGCCUGCACUGACGCUCAUGCACGAAAGCGUGGGGAGCAAACAGG